GUCUUACCUGAACAAUAUUAGA
rnacentral:miRNA from 1 species